rnacentral:rRNA from 1 species
AGGACGAACGCUGGCGGCGCGCUUAACACAUGCAAGUCGAGCGAGAACCGGGACUUCGGUCCCGGGGACAGCGGCGAACGGGUGAGUAACACGUGGGUAAUCAACCCUCGGCACCGGGAUAGCCCGAGGAAACUCGGAUUAAUACCGGAUAGCCCCUCCGACUCUCGAGUCGGUCGGGAAAGGUAGCUUAGGCCUCUGGCCGGGGACGAGCCCGCGGCGGAUUAGCUUGUUGGUGGGGUAAUGGCCUACCAAGGCAACGAUCCGUAGCUGGUCUGAGAGGACGAUCAGCCACACUGGGACUGAGACACGGCCCAGACUCCUACGGGAGGCAGCAGUGGGGAAUCUUGCGCAAUGGGCGAAAGCCUGACGCAGCGACGCCGCGUGAGGGAAGAAGGCCUUCGGGUUGUAAACCUCUUUCAGGAGGGACGAAGCUACUCGGGUGAAUAGCCCAGAGGGUGACGGUACCGUCCAGAAGAAGCCCCGGCUAACUACGUGCCAGCAGCCGC